rnacentral:misc_RNA from 1 species
AAAAAUAUUUGGUCUCGUGCCAAAUUUACACCUGUGUGCACCAUUGUCUGUAUUUGGUAGCUCGAGCGCGCUCCGGAAGCUCAACACUUCCAUUAGGGGCGCCUACCCUUGCGGGUCACAUCCCGCUUGGGUUGGGCUACCGCCUUUUUUUUGAAAAACCUUUUUUGUUUUGUCUUUUUGUCUGAACGAGGAGUUGAUCUUAAUUGAUUAAUGAUUUGAAAA